CAAAAAACCAAGUACUCAGUUUCAUAUUGAUUCAAGCAUUCUGACUUCUGCCAGUUAAAUACCAAAAUAAAUCUCUCUGAUCUUCCCGAGGACAAAAACCCAGAAAGAAAAUGAAAAGAAAAGGGCCCAGGAAAAGAGGAAAACAAGAAUGUCCAACAGCAAUCUAAAUAGAUAGAUGAUCAACAAUGAUGUAUACAGUAUAAUAAUGUUCAGUAGCAAUUGCUUUUUAAUUUCCUGGCUGAUAUAAACACCCUAAUCAUUUUCCUAUAUUCUUCUGUUUCCUUUCGUGUUUCAAUAAUACUUCAGUAGAUGUUCAUGACGAGCAGCAACAUCAUAUUUCUGGAAAGACAAACU
rnacentral:lncRNA from 1 species